rnacentral:lncRNA from 1 species
UUCAUGCAAAGAAAAGCUAAGCUUACUUAGAUGCUUGAUCUGUUCGAUUAUGUACAAUAUAUGAUCGGUGACUGAUGCUCCCUCCCUCAUCCGCAUAUUAAAAAUGACACAACUAAUCUUGUGCCACUCAACAUCAUCGGGAGUGCCAAAAGUCUCUUUCAACACCUUGAGCAUGUCUUCUAGCUGAGCUUCUUAAAACUUUUGACUGAACUCAUCAUUCAUGGCAGCCCGCA